GUUUGAUAGAUUGUAUCUAGGUAACGCUAGCUAGCUGCUAACAAUGGCUAACUGUAUGGCUUUUCAUUCUCAAAUAGCCUCCAUUAUGGAGGUGCUAGCGAAUACAGCCGUGGCAGACAUAUGUAAACUCGUAGACGACGAUUAUGCAGUGUUUCGUUUGGAAAUAACUCAAAGCCAGAAAGAAAACAGGACAUUGCGGAGGAAAUUACAGCUAUUGGAACAGAAGGUGACACGGGAGCGCGCAGAGAGGACAAUGCGAGAGCGCGUCCUCGCCAGUCGUCCCAGUAGUGUCAAGAUCCUCGACCGAUACAGAGGAAUGCCCAGAGGACAUCUCACUGGAGGCCACAGGAGCUUUGUGAAGCCAACAGGACACAAUACAUGGAGAGAUGACCAACCAAUCACUGUUGAGGGGAGUGGAACCUCAACCCAGCAUGUUAUCGUGAUAGAGUCUGCAGAUACAGAGGUUUCAGGUCCUGGGGUCAAGCAAGAGAGAACUGAAAGAACUGACACAAGACACAGAAGAGACAUCCAGACUGGAUUGACUGGAGCGCCCCCUGUAUCCAGGGAGGACCCUGCCGCCUCGCCCCAGCCCAGGACACGACACAGCAUCACGGAGGUCAGUGGAACGCCGAACAACGUCCUCAAGUCAGAGACAGACACCAAGACUUUAACUGUAACACACAGGCUCUUACCCACAGAAUCUGACCACAGAUCAGACUCCGAGACGCUGGGGCCACUGGGCUGUCCUCCUGCUUCCAGCUCAGAGUACUUACCGGUAUUUCACCAGAGCCAGAGAACGGUUCUUUCCUGUGGAGAUGGUGACGCUUUAGACACUGGUGUUGAUGACCUGUCUUGUUCUUACGCUACAGAGAUGGACCCUGGCAACAUAUCCUUGAGUUUAGAGACACAGACUCAUCUGUUUAGAGGGGACUGUAACCAGUACAGUAGUAGUGUAUACUCUGAAGGGUGCCUAGAUAAGAAACGGGAGGUUGUAGUGGUAGACGAGGUAAAAGUGGAGGGCGACGCUCUUCCCACAUGGAAUGCAGAUAGUCACCUAGGAGACGGACACUCACAGGGCAGAGAUUUCUUAGAUUACAGAGAAAGCUUAGACACAAAUAUAAAUGUUGUCACCCACUCCCCUUUACACGCAUUCAGGGAUCGUGACCCAGUGUCCAUGUCGAUGGCACCUUCCGAUUCACACGGCUGCGUCGUUUUCGAUCAGGUGUUGAACUCAAAUGACCAAAGGGCCAUGGCUCGUGGAGGGGGAGCAAUAUCAGGCAAUAGUAAAGAGAAACGGUUCCUCUGCAUGUUCUGUAACAAAGGCUUCCGCUGCCCCCAGAAGGUGGCGAUCCACCAGAGGGUCCACACAGGGGAGAAACCCUUCAGCUGUACCCAGUGUCAUAUGUGCUUUUCCCAGGCUUGUCACCUGAAGAGGCACCAGAGGGUCCACACAGGGGAGAAACCCUACAGCUGCCCCCAUUGUGAAAAGAGGUUCUCCCGCCAGGACCAGCUGAGGAUGCACCUGAAGGUCCACACUGGAGAGAGGCCAUUUGCCUGUACGCACUGCAAGAAAAGGUUCUCAGAGAAGAGCAACCUCAGCAUACACCAGCAGAAACACCAUUCCACUAUGUAACAUAGAAAAUAACCAUUCCACUCUAUAGCGUCUGGCGUUUAGAUCAAACCCAGCAUUAAAAACAUAGAUUCAUUUUCAGUGUUAUCAGCAGAAAAGAUCCACAGAUGCAUUUAGAAUAAUGAUAGAAACAGAUUUCAGUGUUGAAUAUUUGUGGGUAAAAUAUUGCAUCUAGAUAUUGUGUGAUAUAUAAGCCUAAAAAUAAGUGCUUUAGGUGUUCCGGAAGACUGUUCUAAAAAAUGGACCUCUGUAGGAGAUAAAAAAAUGGCCUAGUUUGGGCCAGUUCUUGUGGAGUAGUGGUGGACCUGAGUAUUAAAUGUGAAUAGUGAUUGAAAAGAAACAGGGAGUACGUAUUUUUUUUCGUUGAAAAGAAACGGGGAGUACAUUUUUUUAAAAUUGAAAUGCAUACAGAUUUUAAGUUGAUUGAUGUCAUGAAUAUUAAGAACUUGAAAGCAAUGGAAAGGUGGAGAGAAACUGGCACGACGGUCUGAAAUGAGUUGCAGGCAUCACAAAAUAUUUUCGGAGACUUAAUAUGUUAAGGUUACUUUUGUAAGUAUUGGCCUAGACCAGGGCUAUUCAACUCUUACCCUACGAGGUCCAGAGCCUGCUGAUUUUCUGUUCUACCUGAUAAUUAAUUGCACCCACCUGUUGUUCCAGGUCUAAAUCUGUACGUGAGUAGAGGGGAACAAUGGAGAAAGAAAUACAGCACAACUGGCUCCAGAGUUGAGUUUGAGGGGCCUAGACUAUAUUGCAACAUAAGGAUGCAUUAAGGUGUAUUACAGAUUUAAUAUUAUUUUACUUGAGAUGAGAUGUUGAAUUCAUCUGAUGACACCAAUAUCUCUCGCAAUUUUAUUGCAGACAAAUGAAGUGGGAUUUGCCCAGUUUAUUUUUUUGUCAAUAAAAACACCUAGGAAUUUGUUAGUUUUAACACUGGGUAGUAAAGGAAAUUUAUAAUUUUUUUAUUCAACUGUUGGACCGAGGACAGACACUGGUUACAAUAUGCAAUUUGAUUAUAUUCCAAUCGUCUAAAUUCUGUAGGCUACCCGUAAAAGGCGCUGCAUGGUCAAUCCGCAUUGGCCGUGUAGCAUUUAUGGUGAUACGGCCUCUGCAGAAGUCAGGGAAUUCAUACUUUUUGUGCUUCGCGGAGCAGAGCUGUUAUGAAGGAACUUGUCAAGGAAGUGAGUUUGUGUUUAUACAGGACCUUCCGCCGCCCACCUACCAUCAGCCAAUCAUGUCAAUGCGGAG